AAUUUUAAGGCUCUAUUAAGAAAGAAAUACCAUAAAUCGCUGAAUCAGAUCCAAUGGCUACAAAUGAAUAACUUGAAUCUAUAAAUAGCCUUUAGCUCUCAGUAGCUAUCAUCAGUCAUCGUAUUAGGGUUUCAGCUGCCGAAUCUCUAUCGUCUAUGUAUUUGAAUGUGUAUCUAUGUAUUUAAUCAUCGCACACACAGUAAACACUUGGUUUGAAUUGUUUUCGAAUUCGGUCCUUUAUCUGUGAUUUCGCGACGAUUUAUAUUAAAUUGGGGCGAGCGUUGAUCGAUGUUCGUAUAACCCGGAGUGAAUCGUCGCCAGAUUAAGCUGUUCCUUUGUUGAGAUCUCCGGCGUUGCCGGAGAUUUCCGAAGGAAACUCACGAAUCAAUGCCACGUCGCCAGAAGCAACGGCUGUGAUCGGCGAUGUCAUGAUUGAACCAAAAUCAAAGUUUUUGCAUGUUGAUAGGAACCUGUGAAUCGAUCUUCACCGUUCGUUUACGGAGCCGUUUUCUGCGAUUACAUUUUGUGAUUUUUAUUUUAUUUUAUGAAUAGAAAAAUAAAUAGAUUCAAUUAGACCUAUGAUGAUUAAAAAUAUCAAUAUAUCUGGAAUUACCGUCUGAA